rnacentral:rRNA from 1 species
GAUGAACGCUGGCGGCGUGCCUAAUACAUGCCAGUCGAGCGAACGGACGAGAAGCUUGCUUCUCUGAUGUCAGCGGCGGACGGGUGAGUAACACGUGGAUAACCUACCUAUAAGACUGGGAUAACUUCGGGAAACCGGAGCUAAUACCGGAUAAUAUUUUGAACCGCAUGGUUCAAAAGUGAAAGACGGUCUUGCUGUCACUUAUAGAUGGAUCCGCGCUGCAUUAGCUAGUUGGUAAGGUAACGGCUUACCAAGGCAACGAUGCAUAGCCGACCUGAGAGGGUGAUCGGCCACACUGGAACUGAGACACGGUCCAGACUCCUACGGGAGGCAGCAGUAGGGAAUCUUCCGCAAUGGGCGAAAGCCUGACGGAGCAACGCCGCGUGAGUGAUGAAGGUCUUCGGAUCGUAAAACUCUGUUAUUAGGGAAGAACAUAUGUGUAAGUAACUGUGCACAUCUUGACGGUACCUAAUCAGAAAGCCACGGCUAACUACGUG